rnacentral:lncRNA from 10 species
GCAGAAACAGGACGGAGAAGGGGGCUGUAUUUCCCCUGGCGUGUGAAAUGGAUGUUAGUGACUAAAGCUCAAUUUUCCAGUUAAGGGAGGAGCCGAGACUUUUAAGUCGAGUGUUCCUGUGGGGCCAAAAGGAUGGUUUCAGAGAAAUCCCAGGAAGUGAGAGUGCUGGGAUAUGCGAGGGGCCCACGGAGCCCUCCCCUGCGUGUCUGAGAUCACACCCUGCGGGUACCCUGCCGUCGUGUGCUGAAGGAGGUGACUGGAUCUCGACUCCAGAGUUUGCUCCUGAGAUCGAAAAACAAAACAACCCAAUAAUAGUCUUGAUUUAAGUUCCUGAACUCUGCCCACCACCACCAGCAGCCAUGACUUCUUGGCAAGACUCCAAACCCCUCCCUACCUUCACUCUUUAGAGAGAAAGGCUAGACUUACAGGGUGACCAAUAAUGCUGGUUUAUCCAAGAAGGGGAUUCCCAAGACACAGGGCUGUCAGUGCUAAACCAGGGUGUUCCUGUCCAACUUGGCUUCCAUAAGAACUUCAAUCAAAUUCACAGACCACAUUCAAAUUUGUCAAUUGUCCUAAUAAUAGCU